rnacentral:SRP_RNA from 1 species
GCUGGGCAUGGUGGCGCAUGCCUGUAAUCUCAGCUACUCAGGAGGCUGAGGCAGGAGAAUCACUUGAACCCAGGAGAUGGAGGUUGCAGUGAGCUGAGAUCAUGCCACUGCACUCUAGCCUGGGCGACAGAGUGACACUCUGUCUCAA